rnacentral:tRNA from 1 species
CCCGUAGCUCAGCGGAUAGAGCAUCGGCCUUCGGAGCCGAGUGUCGGGGGUUCGAAUCCCUUCGGG